CUCACCCACGGGGGGCAGCAGUGGGGAAUAUUGCACAAUGGGGGAAACCCUGAUGCAGCGACGCCGAGUGAGUGAAGAAGUAAUUCGUUAUGUAAGGCUCUAUCAGCAGGGAAGAAACAGACGGUACCUGAGUAAGAAGCACCGGCUAACUAAGUGCCAGCAGCCGCGGGAAUACGUAGGGGGCAAGCGUUAUCCGGAUUUACUGGGUGUAAAGGGAGCGUAGAUGGCGGAGAAAGUCUGAAGUGAAAGACCGCGGGUUAACCGCGGAAUUGCUUUGGAAACUUUUU
rnacentral:rRNA from 1 species